UUAUCUGAGCAAUGUAGUGAAUUAGCUUUUGAUUCAGUUGCUUAUUGAUGCAUGCUAAACCCAUGCUGCAUAGAUUGAUCAAUGUGACUGAUUUAGGUGCCAUGAUCGGCUUGAAUGUAGUCAUCUUUAGUCUGACUUAGUGAAGUCAGUGGGAGGAUUAUGAUUAGCUAUUCAAGUUCAAUCUCUUCUCUUAAAUAUGUUAAUCA
rnacentral:lncRNA from 1 species